CCUACGGGCGGCAGCAGUGAGGAAUAUUGGUCAAUGGGCUUACGCCUGAACCAGCCAAGUCGCGUGAGGGAAGACUGCCCUAUGGGUUGUAAACCUCUUUUGUCAGGGAGCAACGCCGGCUACGUGUAGCCGGACUGAGAGUACCUGAAGAAAAAGCAUCGGCUAACUCCGUGCCAGCAGCCGCGGUAAUACGGAGGAUGCGAGCGUUAUCCGGAUUUAUUGGGUUUAAAGGGUGCGUAGGCGGACUGCUAAGUCAGCGGUAAAAUUGCGGGGCUCAACCUCGUUCCGCCGUUGAAACUGGCGUCCUUGAGGGGGCGAGAAGUACGCGGAAUGCGUGGUGUAGCGGUGAAAUGCAUAGAUAUCACGCAGAACUCCGAUUGCGAAGGCAGCGUACCGGCGCCCAACUGACGCUGAAGCACGAAAGCGUGGGUAUCGAACAGGAUUAGAUACCCCUGUAGUC
rnacentral:rRNA from 1 species